ensembl:lncRNA
GUCUCGCCGCGCCUCGGCCCGCCCCCUGCGCCGGGCGGGCUUCUGUCAGCUCGGCCGGUGCCCCACGCCCUGCACAGUCUUGGUGUUGCGGCUGCUGCUGGGGGGAUCCGUCAGGUCCAGGGAUCGAGGCGAGCUUGCUGGAGAUGGAGGAUUUUGUGCUGAGAGAACGGCUGCGGCUGGGACCUCGGUGGAGACCAAGGCCUUCCCGAAUAGAAUGGCGAGCGGUGGCACUGGGAAGCAGCCGCAGCACAAGAAAGCAGCUCCCUGCCGGUGUCUGUAAGAAAACUGAGCCCAAGGGGAAAAUACCGGGUGACCAUAGGUAUUACAAAGUGGUUAGGGGCUGUUCCCCACAGUGUUGCACUUGUCCCCGCUGGCUCUCGUUCUUGUUUUCUCUGUGGCACCCCUUCAGCUGGUCGGUGCCUUCUGAAAUUCUCCUCCUCACCCACACAAUGGCUGGGCAAGAACUCGGUCCUUUAUGUGUUUGUUCUCUGCAAACAUAAUAAAUAUAUUCCGUUUCAUCAUUUGGGACAUUAAUUAAAAGAACAAAGAGACCUGUAGCCGGGACAGAUGCCACCUGAUUUGCUUUCUUGUUUUGUUUUCUUUUGUUUGUUGGGUUUUUUUAAUACUAAUAUUGAAGGAUCGGUAAUUGUUCUGGUUAUAGUUUUGGUUUUCCAGCCACUUUACACCCACUCCAUGGACAUUUCAUCAAAGCCGCGUUUUUGUUCCUGUGUUGUGUGAGAUUUACUUAAAGCUUUAAAGAUACAAAAAAUCAUCUACUGCUUCUCUCCCACCUACAAAGCUCAUAACCACAAAGUGGAAGGAAAUUAGAUCAGUUUGACAUGAUUUGCUCUUGACAAUUCCAUGAAUAGUCCUUAUUCAUGUAAGUGGUACUAUAGAAGUAAUUCAGAUCUUGGCAGUUUCAGGCCAUUAGUUUUCAAAGGUAAAAUACAGUGUAGAUAGUGUCUUUUGUUGGUAUCUGUUGUAAUAGGUAAUGGAUCAGAGGAUUUCACAUUGGUUUCAAGCGUUAUUACAAUAAACAUUUCCUCUAUUUCAUAGUAAGCGAAAUUUUUACUAUUUUAAAUGGUUUUUUUUGAUCUGUGUUAUUAAAAGUGCCAAUCAAGCAUUUCACUAAAAAAUAUCAUUUUCAAAGGCUUAUUCCAAUGCUCAGCUACCACAAAAAAAAUUCAAUUAUAAAAAUAAAUUCUUCUGCUAUCCUUUAAGUGAUUCUCAUUCAACCUCUCCUUUUUGUGGUACCCACGUGCACAUAUUUUGCAUAGCUAACAGACACCUGAAGAUGUCAAAUAGUUUCCCAAUAAUUUACCCUUCUGCCAAACCAAAAGGCAAAACAAUCCUGAAAACCAAUGAGCCACUUCAUUUUGAAGCUAUGAUACAGAUCUGCCCCAAGGGCCUUGUUUUUACUGCUUCAGGAAACCAUGUUACCUUUUGCGUUGCAAGAAAAUUGUGUAAUUGGUUUUCCUACCUUGGGCAGUUGGAGGCAGUGUUAAAGUGCAAAAUACUGUGCAUCUCAUAGAUAUAAAAUCGGUACAGCAGGAUCACUGGUAGGCAUACAGUUUAGAUAUCCAUUGCUUCAAAGUCUAUGCAAAGAAAAGAAAAUGGCAAAAAAAGUUCCAUCAUACACUCUUCGGUUCUGAGAAUAGUUGUAACAAUGACUGGAACAACCUUCAUGAAUUUUUUUGUAGUAUUGGUUUUUUGUAAAGCUGAUAUAGCACAAAAUAAAAUUGAUUUUAUGAAAAGUAAGCAGAAGGAGUUUUCCAAAACUUACUAAGAAAGAACAAUUCUCAGUAUUUUUAGUUCUAAAAUAAUUCCUUUUAGCACUGGUUUGUUAGUAGUAGGAGAGCCAAUAUGGCAGUAGGUUGUAUUGAAUGCGAAUAUGAAAAGUAGAGUUUGGCCAUUAGAAAGAAAUUUAAAUUUGUUCAGCAAUAAAGCAGGCAUUUUCAAAAUACUUUGAUUGUUAACAGUAGAAUACAUGGAUUACAGUUUGAGUAGUAUUCCAUCAUCUGUUCUAAUUACGAAGACAGUUUUAUGGAUUAUACACUUCUCAUAAUUGCUUUUGGCUUCCUACUUAAAUUUUAACAUUUGAAAGUAUUGGUCUAAGUUGCUUGCCCAACAUGUCGUCACAGUCCACAUACAGUGCUAGAACAAGAUGCUAGGAAAAUGCAACUGAAAAUUAACAAAGAUUUCACUGCCAGACUUGGGUCCUUAUGGAAACUACAGGCAAUCUCUGCAUCUGUCAGAAAAUUCCACUCCGGACUUUUUAAUAGUUCAAAAAAACAAAAGACAAAAUAUAUAAUUUUAAUGCAAAUUGAUGACAUUUUCUUCAAGUAAGUGUAAGAAAAUGUUUAAAUUGCUAUUCAGCCUGAACACUAACAUGAUAAAAAUAUAAUUUUGUCUGAAAUCA